rnacentral:rRNA from 1 species
UGGCGGACGGGUGAGUAAUGUCUGGGAAACUGCCCGAUGGAGGGGGAUAACUACUGGAAACGGUAGCUAAUACCGCAUAACGUCGCAAGACCAAAGAGGGGGACCUUAGGGCCUCUUGCCAUCGGAUGUGCCCAGAUGGGAUUAGCUAGUAGGUGGGGUAACGGCUCACCUAGGCGACGAUCCCUAGCUGGUCUGAGAGGGUGACCAGCCACACUGGAACUGAGACACGGUCCAG